UCAUCCUCCGCAGCUGCACCAGCGGUCAUGCCGACUACAAGGAACUUCAUCCCAGAGGUUACUACCGAAUCCUUCUUCCAUCGGCAAUGUAUUUACUUUAGAUCUAUUUCUUACUUUUUGCACUCCCCUUUCCUUUUUUAGGCGGUUAGACAUCGCAUUACUAUCCAUCUUACGGGAAAUCCUGGUCUUGUCUGUCUCGGACCCAUGGGGAACCCAGAUCCAAUAGAGCUCAUCAAUUUAGAAACCCACAGAAUCCCCUUCAAAC
rnacentral:lncRNA from 1 species